GAUGAACGCUGGCGGCGUGCCUAAUACAUGCAAGUCGAGCGAACGGACGAGAAGCUUGCUUCUCUGUUGUUAGCCGCGGACGGGUGAGUCACACGUGGAUAACCUCCCUAUAAGACUGGGAUAACUUCGGGAAACCGGCGCUAAUCCCGGAUAAUAUUUUGAACCGCAUGGUUCAAUAGUGAAAGACGGUCUUGCUGUCACUUCUAGAUGGAUCCGCGCUGCAUUAGCUAGUUGGUAAGGUAACGGCUUACCAAGGCGACGAUGCAUAGCCGACCUGAGAGGGUGAUCGGCCACACUGGAACUGAGACACGGUCCAGACUCCUACGGGAGGCAGCAGUAGGGAAUCUUCCGCAAUAGGCGAAAGCCUGGCGGAGCAACGCCGCGUGAGUGAUGAAGGUCUUCGGAUCGUAAAGCUCUGUUAUUAGGGAAGAACAUAUGUGUAAGUAACUGUGCACAUCUUGACGGUACCUAAUCAGAAAGCCACGGCUAACUACGUG
rnacentral:rRNA from 1 species